rnacentral:tRNA from 1 species
AGGGGAGUCGCCAAGUGGUAAGGCAGCGGAUUUUGAUUCCGCCAUUCGUAGGUUCGAUCCCUACCUCCCCUGCCA